rnacentral:rRNA from 1 species
UACGUAGGGUGCAAGCGUUGUCCGGAAUUAUUGGGCGUAAAGAGCUCGUAGGCGGCUUGUCGCGUCGACUGUGAAAACUCACGGCUCAACCGUGGAACUGCAGUCGAUACGGGCAGACUGGAGUUCGGCAGGGGAGACUGGAAUUCCUGGUGUAGCGGUGAAAUGCGCAGAUAUCAGGAGGAACACCGAUGGCGAAGGCAGGUCUCUGGGCCACUACUGACGCUGAGAAGCGAAAGCAUGGGGAGCGAACAGG